AUUGAACGCUGGCGGCAUGCCUUACACAUGCAAGUCGAACGGUAACAGGUCUUCGGAUGCUGACGAGUGGCGAACGGGUGAGUAAUACAUCGGAACGUGCCCGAUCGUGGGGGAUAACGAAGCGAAAGCUUUGCUAAUACCGCAUAAGAUCUAAGGAUGAAAGCAGGGGACCGCAAGGCCUUGCGCGAACGGAGCGGCCGAUGGCAGAUUAGGUAGUUGGUGGGAUAAAAGCUUACCAAGCCGACGAUCUGUAGCUGGUCUGAGAGGACGACCAGCCACACUGGGACUGAGACAAGGCCCAGACUCCUACGGGAGGCAGCAGUGGGGAAUUUUGGACAAUGGGCGGAAGCCUGAUCCAGCCAUGCCGCGUGCAGGAUGAAGGCCUUCGGGUUGUAAACUGCUUUUGUACGGAACGAAAAGACUCUGGUUAAUACCUGGGGUCCAUGACGGUACCGUAAGAAUAAGCACCGGCUAACUACGUGCCAGCCGCCGCAGUAAUAC
rnacentral:rRNA from 1 species